rnacentral:rRNA from 1 species
UACGGAGGGGGCUAGCGUUGUUCGGAAUCACUGGGUUUAAAGGGUGCGUAGGCGGCUAGAUAAGUCAGAGGUGAAAGCUUGUUGCUUAACGAUAGAACUGCCUUUGAUACUGUUAAGCUUGAAAGUAGGUGAGGUUGGUGGAAUGUGACAUGUAGCGGUGAAAUGCAUAGAUAUUUCAUAGAACACCGAUUGCGAAGGCAGCCAGCUAGCCUGACUUUGACGCUGAGGCACGAAAGCGUGGGUAGCGAACAGG